AUCAAGGAGAGGUCACCUCUGGCUUUUAUUCCCUUCUCGGCAGGGCCCAGGAACUGCAUCGGGCAGACGUUCGCGAUGGCGGAGAUGAAGGUGGUCCUGGCGCUCACGCUGCUGCGCUUCCGCGUCCUGCCUGACCACACCGAGCCCCGCAGGAAGCCGGAGCUGGUCCUGCGCGCAGAGGGCGGACUUUGGCUGCGGGUGGAGCCCCUGAGCUGAGUUCUGCAGAGACCCACUCUGACCCCACUAAAAUGACCCCUGAUUCAUCAAAAGUGAAGCCUAGAAUUACCCUAAGACCCUGUUCCACAGUCCUGUAUUCCAUCCUAGAUAUCUACUCAAAAUAAUUGAGACAAGUGUUCAAACAGAAAGACGCUUGUGCGUGAAUGUUCAUGGCGGCCCUAUUCACAGUAGCCAAACGAUGAAAACAACCCCAAGCUAUAUAUUACCAGAUGAAAGGAUAAACAAAAUGUGGUCCAUCCAUACAAUGGAGUAUUACACAGCCAUAAAAAGGAAUGAAGCAGUGAUCCCUACUACACUGUGGAUGAACCUUGAAUGCAUGAUACUGAAUGAAAGACGUCAGAUGCAAAAGGUCACAUAGUGUACUGUCCUUUUAUACGAAAUUUCCAGAACAGGCCAAUCUGAAGAGAUGCAUAGCGGAUUGGUGGCUUUCAGCAGCUGUGGGGAGGUGGGACUGAGGAGCGACUGCUAAUCAGUAUGGGGUUUCCUCCCGGGAUGGUGAAAAUGUUCCGGACCUAGAUAGUGACGAAGGUAGCACGACACUGUGAGUGCACUAAAUGCUAUUGAAUUGGACACUUUGAAAUGGUGAAUUUCGUGGUAUGUGAAUUCUACCUCAAUCAAAAAAAUUUGCUAUUUUAUCUCACAUACAUUUUUUUUCUGUCCAGGUUGUUCAUAUAAUAAUAUGCUGUGAGCAUCUUUCCAUGACAUUAAAUCAUCUUAGGAAACA
rnacentral:lncRNA from 10 species